UUACUAAAAAUGCUUUAAUUAGACCAUAAUAAUGCUAAGUAAACUUUAAUCAAAUUCAAAGAAACCUUGAAGAAAUUUCAAAGAAAUAAUAAGAAAUCUUAAAGAAAUAUUAGAAUGAUCACAAAUAUCUCUCAAAUACAUCUCAAUUCAAUCUUAAUUUAAUCCUAAUUAAAAUCCUAUUGGACUUUAUUCAAACUUUAUGCCAAAACUAAUUAAAUCUUAAAUCCUAAAUAAACCCUAAUAAAAUCCUAAAUCCUAAACCAAAUCCUAACCAAAUCCUAACCAAAUCUUAAAUCCUAAAUCAAAGUUUAAACCUGCACCAAACCCUAAUCAAAUCCUAAAUCCUAAACCAAAUCCCAACCAAAUCCUAAACCAAACCCUAAACA
rnacentral:lncRNA from 1 species